rnacentral:rRNA from 1 species
AGGACGAACGCUGGCGGCGUGCCUAACACAUGCAAGUCGAACGGGACCAGGGGCAACUCUGGUUCAGUGGCGGACGGGUGCGUAACACGUGAGGAACAUGACCUUCGGCGGGGGAUAGCCGGCCCAACGGCCGGGUAAUACCGCGUACGACCACUCGGGGACAUCCCCAGGUGGUGAAAGCAGCAAUGCGCCGAUGGAGUGCCUCGCGGCCUAUCAGCUAGUUGGUGAGGUAACGGCUCACCAAGGCGACGACGGGUAGCUGGUCUGAGAGGAUGGCCAGCCACAUUGGGACUGAGACACGGCCCAGACUCCUACGGGAGGCAGCAGUGGGGAAUAGUUGCGCAAGUGGAACGAAAGUCUGACGCAGCGACGCCGCGUGUGGAUGACGGUCUUCGGAUUGAAACCACGUGUCGGGAGGACGAAUACGCCGACGAAGGCGGUCGACGGUACCGACCGAAAAGGAAGCCGAACCGGCUUAACGUCCCGACGGCCCAAGGCCGACGGUCCGACGGUUAAAC